CGAACAGCAGGUUGAAGCUGACCUGAUGUCAUAGUGGGACAGGUAUUAUGCCUGUUUUUCCCAAGAGAGGUAAUUGAUGUGCUUUAGAUAGCUACUACAAAUUUCCCUUUUGCAGUCAGAUUAUAUUUUAGUCGGUUCUGGAAUUUAGCAUGUCGUUUUCAUAUUAUGUCUCAUGUUGGAAGCCUACAGAUUCUGGGUGUUUAUACUUUUAUCAUUUUAUACACCAUAACAGCAUCUGAUUUAGUAUCUCUGAUCACCCCAUUAGAAGCAUACAGAUUGUUAGUGAAUAUACUUUUAUCAGUUUAUGCACUUUAACAAACAUUUUUAUUUAGUAUCUGAAGCAGUUUCCUGAUGUUCAGCAACUUUUGACAAGAGCUGUGCCGGUGAUGUAAUUCCAGCCUAGGUCAAACAAACACUCAGGCUUUUGUUGCUUGAAUUGUCAUUUUUCCAGACGAUUUAAGAUUUUUUCUUCCGUUAUACCAAAAAUCUGCUAACAAAGUCUUUCUUUUUCUUUUUAAUGCAUAUGCUUCCAGUUUUUUGAAGAGGUAAAAGUUGUUAUACAGCACAUUCGUGGACAUAUAUUGGGAGAUUUUGAGUACAGCACCAUUAAAAAGUGUUGUACUUAUUCUUAUUAUGUUACUCUCCCCAAAAAUUUACUGCAUGAUCCUUUUCUAACUGCCAAAGGGACAACGUUGUUUUGUGAUUCGCCUGAAGGUAUGCUUCAAAUGUAUGACCUUUUUCUAGCAUGAGUGUUUUUUCUAGCAGGUCAUACCCUAAAGCAAAUGAUUUUUCCAAGGAACAUGGAUCAGAGUGCAUUUCCAAUUAUAAUUAAAGCUGAAUCUAUAGCGUCAUCAAGGACUGACACCGUAUCAAAAAUAUCAUAAUACAGGCAAACCUUAGUUUUUUAUAUAUUCCAUGAGCACUUUGUGCUAUAUUAAUUACAAGGGAAGAAGUAGUAAUGCUCUUAAAAGGAAAGUGCACUAACAUUUGCAGUAUCAGGUGGUGAAGGACAAAAUUAAAGGAGACAACAUGGAUCAGUAGCUGUUAUUUUUCUGAUUCUUCUGUGCUUUUGGAGGUUGAAGCAUGGAUGUGAUGUGAUAAAUACAAGGCUUCUAUUCUAGUUACUGCUGAAGGUGCAUCUUGCGGGAUUGAACUACCAGCUUAGAGUAGCAAUUCCGUCAAGAUGGUGAUGACCGCAACAUAUAGUUGUGCAGCUCCAGGCAAGCCACUAGCCACAUCAAUUGGCAACAUUAUGUAUAUAAUCCGAAAAAAUGGUUUCAUAUGCAACAAUGUACCUGCACUCAUAAAUCAGUACCAUCUGGACCAGAGCGAAAAAGGGAGAGAAGAGGGGAGGAGGAGGAAGAAAAAGAGAAGACAAGAGUAACAGGUUGUACCGGUAAGAGGAAACAGAGGAGGACAUGCGCCACAUAGAUAGUUUUGGAUUUCUAUACAAAUGUGAGACAGGUUGGAAAGUGAAGUUGGAAGCGAUGCAAGAAGUCAAGAAGAUGGACCAGGUACAUUAUUCUAUAUCUUCUCACUGAUAGUGUCAUCUCUCACAACCAUUGGAUAACCCCUUGUUUGUAAUCCAAUAUUCCAAGUUUCUUGUGGUAUUCUUUCUAGAAUCUGAUUGCUAUAUGAGGAGUGUCCUGAAAAUGUUAUUUUGGUGAUUUGGAGCUGUGUUGCUAUACUAAAGAAACUCAAUCUUUUGGAACUAGCAGACCUUAUGUUGUUGGGUGAAUGCCCUUUACAUUGUACCGAUUGAAUGGAGAAUAGGUUUAGUGGGGCCAUCAAAUUUGUGAUCACUCUGUUCUCUUUGUUGAAUACAUGCACUGGAUUCCACUUGAAGUGAUUGUUGGAUUUCCUAUUCUAGCUUUUGCAUGCACGAUGCUACAUCGAGUAGCCUAAUAAAAGUCAAAACAAGUUCAUGCAGCUCAUGUGAGCAGGGAAACCAGUAUACUUUUUGCAAGGAUAAGAUUUGUGUGUUGUGCAAGCGUUUUUGACUUGCCGAGUUUUGGUGUUCUUAUGCUGUGAAAGUUUCAUUGCUUCUGCAUCUCGAAUCAUAGCUUACCAAUUUUAUUAUCCUGCAUUUGUGAGGAUUAAAGAAUGAAUCCAAGUGGCAGGUUGAGUUAAAAACAAUUGGCGUGGCAACUCGAGACAUUCUUUAUGAUAUUGGACAUCAGCUCACGUGACGCUUGGAGGUAUUCCUGCCGCUGCAGCAGGAGAGAAGGCCGACCCCUCGUGCUCAUCCCAUCGCCGACGAAACCUAUGUGAGCAAUGGCAUAAUAAUUGCCAGUUAAAUACCAGCUUCUUAAUUUAUUUCUGCCUUGUUUGGUUGACGCUUGGAAGAGACGGUAGGCCCAUGUCAUUUGAUGAUUCGAGUUGAGUUGAUAUCUUGCAAGAUUGCUCGAAGAAAGGGAAGUUUUUGCUGGAGUGGAGCUUCCCAUCAUUGGUGAGAGAGAGAGGUACAGAGGCAAGAAAUGACUUUUGAGAAGAGAGGUUGACAGUGACAUGGUACCGAGACAAUAUGUAUGUGCGUGUUGCUGAUGGCUCCGACUGCAAAGGGCUUUCCUUUCCUUUCCUCUCCUCUCUCAUGAGAAGAAGAUAAUAACAUCCUGCCUUCGCCGCUGAUGCUCAUCAUGGGGUGGCUUCGGUCCCUCUUCUCCCCGCUCAAGAAGCUGUGGAUCCGCUUGCAUUCUGCACGCAGGAAGAGGAGGGGGAUAUACAUUCUGUACGAGGACGUAAAGUCGUGCCCGUACGAAGACGUGCAGAUCCUGUGGUCGAUCGUGGCGGAGUCGCGCCCGCCCGCCUCCGCCGCUGCCGCCUCCGCCGCCGCUUUCGGCCUCGGAGA